rnacentral:lncRNA from 1 species
CUUUUCCAAAGGGAUAUUAGGUGACAGAUCAUCCUUCUUAGAAGGGCUAUGAGACAACAGAUCAUCCUUUUAAAAGGGAUAUUCGUUAAGAAAUUUCUUAGCCAUUCAGCCUCAGUACCAGCUAACUCCAGAUCUACAAACUCUGAUUCCAUAGUUGAUCUAGAAAUGAUCGUCUUCUUAGCCGAUCUCCAUGAUACUGCACCACCACCUAACAUGAACACGUAAUCACUAGUGAAUUUCGUCUCAUCUAAAUCAGAGAUCCAGUUUACAUCACAAUAUCCUUCUAAAGUAGAAGGAAAUCCACUAUAUAGAAUACCAUAAUUCGUGAUUCCUUUUAAAUAUUUCAUUAAUUUCAUUAAUGUAGACCAAUGCUCUUUAUUGGGUUUGUGAGUAUAUCUAUAUCAGUUCUGGUAAAAUUCAUCAAAUGGAUUAGACUCCCAAUAAUUUUUGCAUAUUUAGACUAGGCAACUGGGUCACCAUUAUUCUUUUUCAAUUUAGAGUUAGCAUCAUAAGGAGUAGCUACGGGAAUUACCUCCCAACAUUCAAACUUCUUAAGAAUUCUUUCAACAGAAUGUUCUUGUGUUAAUAUUAUUUCAUUGUUACUCCUUAUAACUUUAAUGCCCAAAUCAUAUUUACUUCGCCCAACUAUUUCAUAUUAAAGUUAGUAGACAAAAAUAAUUUAGUAAGUUCUACAAUAUUUAAACAUGUACCAAAUAUAAGCAUGUCAUCAACAUAUAAGCAAAUUAUCACAUAAUUAUUGUCUACUACUUUAUUAUAAACACAUUUAUCCACUUCAACAGAGGAAAAUUCAUCUUUUAUUAAAACUUGAUCAAAUUUCUCAUGCCACUAUUUAGGAGCUUGUUUAAGGCCAUAAAGAGAUUUAAUUAAUUUACAAACUUUAUUUUCUUGUCCAGGAACUACACAUCCUUCAGGUUGAACCAUAUAAAUUUCUUCUUCUAAAUCACCAUUUAAGAAAACUAUUUUUACAUCAAUUGGAUGGAUAAAAAGCUUACGAAUUAAUGCCAAAGCGAUUAGUAAUCGAAUAGAAGAAAUUCUUGUCACUGGUGCAAAUGUAUCAAAAUAAUGAAUAUUUUAUUUUUGAGCAAAUCCUUUAGCUACUAAACGGGCUUUAUAUUUAUUUAUAGAUCCAUCAGGAUUAAAUUUUUUUUUGAAAUCCAUUUACAACCAAUAAGUUUUGCAUCUGGAGGUAAAUCAGUUAAAAUUCAUGUAUUAUUUUUCAUGAUAGAAUCAAUUUCAACUUUUAUUGCCUCUUUUCAAAAUUUAGCAUCAGAAGAAGAUAUAUCUUCAAAAUAAUUUAUUGGUUCAUUAUCGACAAGAAAAGUUUGAAAGUCAUUUCCAUAAGAAAAAUAAUCUUUUCUAGGCCUUUUACUCCUUCUCAGUUCCUUAAUGUUAGAGGUAGAUUCAUUUUCUCUUUCGACAGAUGCAUGAGAGAUUUUAUCACAUAGUGAAAAAAUAUGUUCAAAGAAUUCAACAUUCUUUGUCUCAGUUAUAGUAUUACUAUCAAGCACAUCAUUUUUCAAUACAAGAAAUCUAUAUGCAUCACUAUGUUCAGCAUAUCUAAUAAGCAUGAAAUCAACAGUUUUAGAACCUAUUUUUCUCUUUUUAGGAUUAGGCAAAAGAACUUUAGCAAGACACCCGAUACUAUUAAAUAUUUCAAAUUAGGUUUAUAACUUUUCCACAAUUCAUAAGGGGUUUUACCAGUUCGUUUAUGAGGAAUUCUAUUUUAUAAGUGACAUACAGAUAAAAUAGCUUUACCCCACAAAUUAUCAGGUGCAUUAGAGGUAAUUAACAUGUAGUUCAUCAUUUUUUUCAAUGUUCUAUUUUUUCUUUUAGCUACACCAUUAGACUCAGGUGAAUAAGGCGGAGUUACUUCAUGAAUAAUUUUUUAUUUUUUUUCACAAAGAGUAUUUAAAGAUACAUAUUCUCCACCUCUAUCGGAUCUAAUUCUCUUGAUUUUUCUACUAAGUUGAUUUUCAACUUCAGUUUUAUAAGAAACAAAAGCAUCAAAUGCAUCAUCUUUAUUUCUAAGUAAAUAUAACUUAGUAAAUCUAAAAAAAUCAUCAAUAAAAGUUACAUAAUAUCUUUUUCCACCUCUAAUCAUAGUUUGUUUUAAAUCACCUAACUCAGUGGGAAUCAAAGAUAAUAAUUCAGUUUCUCUAUUAACUAAAAAAUAUGACUUUUUAGUAAUUUUAGUUUCAGCACAUAUUUUACAUUUAUCAUAGUUAUUUGAGAUUAAACCAGAUAUUAAUCCAAGUGAUUGCAUAUUCUUUAUAUAAGAGAAAUUAACAUGUCCUAAUCUAACAUGCCAUAAAGAAAUGGACUCAGUCAAAUACGUAGAAGUAGAUACAUUUUUAGAAAUAUCAAUAUGAAUAUCAAGCACAUAUAGUCCAUGAUUACAAUGUCCAUAUCCCACAAAAAUAUUACUUUUAGUUAAUAUGACCUCAUUGUUUUCAAAUAUAACCUUUAUUCCAACUUUUUCUAAUAAUGCCAUAGAAAUCAAAUUAAUUCUGAUAUUAGGCACAUGCAACACAUUACUCAAUGCCAAAGUUUUACCAGAUGUGAGUUUGAGAAGAACUUUGUCUUUUUCGAGAACUUGAAUAGUUCUCGAGGUCCUAAGAUAAACAAUUUCUUCUUCUUUCUCAACUUGGGUGUAUGAUACAAAAUCAUUUUUAUUUAUACAAAUGUGCCUAGUAGCACCAGGGUCUACCGCCCAAUUUCUCACGUUGGUCUCAAUAUUCAUUUCUGAAAUGACUGCAAUAAUUAUAUCAUCCGUUUAAGUCAAAUUUAUUUUUGACUUAGCGGGAUUGUCAUUUCUUUCAUAUAUUCUCUUGCAUUGAGAUGUAUCUUCUAUGAAGAUUUUAUUAUUAGCAUUAGAUGCAUAACCAAGUUUAUUUACAUACCUGUAUUCUGCAGUAUCAUAGUCUGACAAACUGAUUGGAAUGGAAGCAACCAUAGCAACACCAACAUCAGUAUUAUUGACGGUCUUAGGACAAAUAUUAUAUGCCAUAGUUUCUUAGAUUGUUGGAAAACGAUAAUAAAUCUCACUAACACUUGUGACAAUAAAUAAACUGCAACAAUAAUAAUAUUUCUUCUAUAAUAGUAUCACAAGUUUCAAUAACAACAAUAAGAACAACAAGAACAACAACAAUAACAAGAACAAGAACAAGAACAACAACAACAAUGAUGAUAAUAUAACUAUUAUAAUAUUUUAAGUAACAUAUAAAAUACUUGAGUCGUGCUAGGCACUGUCCUUAGAAACUAUUUUCGCAAUGUGAAAUAUUUUUCCAGGAUUAAACAAGUACUUCCCUGAUUAAUUAGAGGAACUUCAAGAAUUAUAUAAGUCUUCCCUAAUUAAUCAGAGGAUACAACAAUCAACUAAAUUAAUUAUAAGCCAACAAGUUUUAACUUAGAAAGGAAAUAAUAAAAUUAUCGAAAAAGGCUCAAAAAUAUCCCUGAACUAUCUGAAAUAGCUCAAAAAUGUCCCUCGUUAGAUUUUUGGCUUAAAAAUACCCCUCCGUUAAAUAUUUGGCUAAAAAAUACCCCCUCUCUAACGGAAUUCGGAAAAGAUAAAAAAUACCCCUGAACUAUCUGAAAUGGGUCGAAAAUUGUCAUCUGUUAAAUACUUGGCUAAAAAAUACCCAUCCCCUUAAUGAAAUUAAAUUAUUUCGAUUGAAUUAAACCCU